ensembl:lncRNA LINC01232 long intergenic non-protein coding RNA 1232
GGGGCUGUGGAGCGCUCGCCAGCCGCUCCCCGUUUGCUGCUGGGUCUUACGAAGUUCUCAUAUCCAUCAUACAGUUUCUUUGUCACACUGUCCGCGGCACGCCAGUCCCUAUGACAGAAAGCACCUGCGGUCUGUCUGGAGGCGGAGUUGGUGGCGGAGAGAAAAAGUUCUGGAGACACCUGGAAGACCCGAGCAUACCUGAGAGCUCAGUGAAGAAAGUAGUUCUGGCGAAUCGGAUUAAUAUGCACCACUGAAACUUGACCUUCGGCCGGCGCGGUGGCUCACGCCUGUAAUCCCAGCACUUUGGGAGGCCGAGAUGGGCGGAUCACGAGAGCCUAGAGACCGCAGGCGCGGGGAAAGCACUCCACGACCAUCACUGGCCAGGCCACAAGAGUGCUGGAUCUAAAUUUGGAACCGGACUUUCAGAGCUGAAAUAAACCUGAGGUUUUCCAGGGGCUUUUAACCUCCUUUUACAGCCAAGGAUGCGCCUAAGAAAGGGGAGAGGCUUCCGUGACUUCCUGCAGUAACGCAGCCACUAGAGAUUGAGACUACAACGACUUGGGAGUCUAAAAGUCUGCAACCUUUUCCACUCCAGAGCUCAAUGUUUCCUCAAUCCCCCGGGAUCGGCAUCAGCAAAAACCCGGAGAAGCGGAGCCUUUCUCAAAGAAAAUGACCUCCAGACUCAUGCUACCAUCUCGACCGGUGCAAGUAUCACGCAUGCGCAGGGCCGGCCGCCCGGCCGCACCUCGCCAACUCCUACUCGGACACGUCAUCUAGAAUAAUUUGGACAGCCUUUUCUGAGUUUCCCAUGACGACUUCUGUAUAAGAUUGUCGGAUAUAGCAAAUAAAAGUACAGUAUACCCAGCUUUACUGUGCGUUUUGUCCAAUUAUUUGUUCAAAA